rnacentral:rRNA from 2 species
CUGUCGUCAGCUCGUGUUGUGAAAUGUUGGGUUAAGUCCCGCAACGAGCGCAACCCUUAUCCUUUGUUGCCAGCGGUUCGGCCGGGAACUCAAAGGAGACUGCCAGUGAUAAACUGGAGGAAGGUGGGGAUGACGUCAAGUCAUCAUGGCCCUUACGACCAGGGCUACACACGUGCUACAAUGGCAUAUACAAAGAGAAGCGACCUCGCGAGAGCAAGCGGACCUCAUAAAGUAUGUCGUAGUCCGGAUUGGAGUCUGCAACUCGACUCCAUGAAGUCGGAAUCGCUAGUAAUCGUAGAUCAGAAUGCUACGGUGAAUACGUUCCCGGGCCUUGUACACACCGCCCGUCACACCAUGGGAGUGGGUUGCAAAAGAAGUAGGUAGCUUAACCUUCGGGAGGGCGCUUACCACUUUGUGAUUCAUGACUGGGGUGAAGUCGUAACAAGGUAACCGUAGGGGAACCUGCGGUUGGAUCACCUCCUUA